rnacentral:lncRNA from 1 species
UGAGAAUGAACUCCCGAGUACACUGCUUGCAGCCCGUGACUGGAAUGUUAAUUUCGUCCUGCGUCCCCGGCUGGCUCCCUUCAACGACAAUCUUCCUUUGAAGACGUGGAUGACAUAGUAAAACCGAUUGCACUUGAGAGCCGAUUCCAUGACUAUUUUGCUGCAACAGCGCGAAUGUCAUCACUCUUUCUUAUGCAAAGAUUGUGUCCAGAUCCAUGAAAUCAGCCAUGGCUUUGUUCAAAAUAUAGUAUCAGGAAUGCAUAUGUUGAGGAUCAAGAAUUCUCUGUCCCCUUUCAAGUCCUGGGGGGACUACGAAUCAAAUUGACAAGAGACAGGUAAAUGGGAGAAAAUCAAAUUUAAUUUUGUAUGUAGAAGGAAUCCACACAGAUAGAGACAUUCCUAGGGUAGGAAUUCAGGCAAAAUUAAGGAUGCAUGUCAUCCUGAAAUAAGGAGAAGGAAGUAAAGAUCUGGGACUUCUACAGGAAAGGAAUGCAGUUCACAGGAAGAUGAAAAAGAGCAAAUGUUUGGUAAUCAAGUGUUUGCUGGGCCCUCAGAAACAAUGGGACCUAAAAGACUUUUGAUCAAACAGGUCUUGCUGGCUUCUUACCUGUCUACCCACCUAGUACAUAGUAUAGUGUGGUUCUCUGGUGCUAGCUCCCUGCCUGGAGCAGGUCCUUUAUCUAAAGUCUUUUAGGCAGUACCGAGGGAGGUAAAGAUCUUUUCCCGAAUCUGCCGGGUUUUGAUUGCUU